rnacentral:rRNA from 1 species
AGAGUUUGAUCAUGGCUCAGGAUGAACGCUGGCGGCGUGCUUAACACAUGCAAGUCGAGCGAAGCACUUUGCUUGGAUUUCUUCGGAAUGACGAGUAUUGUGACUGAGCGGCGGACGGGUGAGUAACGCGUGGGUAACCUGCCUCAUACAGGGGGAUAACAGUUAGAAAUGACUGCUAAUACCGCAUAAGACCACAGCACCGCAUGGUGCAGAGGUAAAAACUCCGGUGGUAUGAGAUGGACCCGCGUCUGAUUAGCUGGUUGGUGGGGUAACGGCCUACCAAGGCGACGAUCAGUAGCCGGCCUGAGAGGGCGACCGGCCACAUUGGGACUGAGACACGGCCCAAACUCCUACGGGAGGCAGCAGUGGGGAAUAUUGCACAAUGGGGGAAACCCUGAUGCAGCGACGCCGCGUGAAGGAAGAAGUAUUUCGGUAUGUAAACUUCUAUCAGCAGGGAAGAAAAUGACGGUACCUGACUAAGAAGCCCCGGCUAACUACGUGCCAGCAGCCGCGGUAAUACGUAGGGGGCAAGCGUUAUCCGGAUUUACUGGGUGUAAAGGGAGCGUAGACGGAGAGGCAAGUCUGAUGUGAAAACCCGGGGCUCAACCCCGGGACUGCAUUGGAAACUGUUUUUCUAGAGUGUCGGAGAGGUAAGCGGAAUUCCUAGUGUAGCGGUGAAAUGCGUAGAUAUUAGGAGGAACACCAGUGGCGAAGGCGGCUUACUGGACGAUGACUGACGUUGAGGCUCGAAAGCGUGGGGAGCAAACAGGAUUAGAUACCCUGGUAGUCCACGCCGUAAACGAUGACUACUAGGUGUCGGGUGGCAAAGCCAUUCGGUGCCGCAGCAAACGC